UACACAUGCAAGUCGAACGGUGAAGCAGGAGCUUGCUCUUGUGGAUCAGUGGCGAACGGGUGAGUAACACGUGAGCAACCUGCCCCGAACUCUGGGAUAAGCGCUGGAAACGGCGUCUAAUACCGGAUACGCACCAGAGCGGCAUCGUUACUGGUGGGAAAGAUUUAUUGGUUCGGGAUGGGCUCGCGGCCUAUCAGCUUGUUGGUGAGGUAACGGCUCACCAAGGCGUCGACGGGUAGCCGGCCUGAGAGGGUGACCGGCCACACUGGGACUGAGACACGGCCCAGACUCCUACGGGAGGCAGCAGUGGGGAAUAUUGCACAAUGGGCGCAAGCCUGAUGCAGCAACGCCGCGUGAGGGAUGACGGCCUUCGGGUUGUAAACCUCUUUUAGCAGGGAAGAAGCGAAAGUGACGGUACCUGCAGAAAAAGCGCCGGCUAACUACGUGCCAGCAGCCGCGGUAAUACGUAGGGCGCAAGCGUUAUCCGGAAUUAUUGGGCGUAAAGAGCUCGUAGGCGGUCUGUCGCGUCUGCUGUGAAAACCCGAGGCUCAACCUCGGGCCUGCAGUGGGUACGGGCAGACUAGAGUGCGGUAGGGGAGAUUGGAAUUCCUGGUGUAGCGGUGGAAUGCGCAGAUAUCA
rnacentral:rRNA from 1 species